UCUCUGCCCUUCUCCCUCUCUAUUCUCCUCACUCCUUUGUGCUGUCAACCAGAAGGCAAAUGUAAUCAACUAAUCAACAGAGAAUGUAUCGUGUGGCUACCAAAGUAGAGCUGAUGAAGGUCCUGCUUCUGCCGAAAACAUGUUUGUCAAUUUGAU